CGGGAAGUGGCGCAGUUGGCUAGCGUACUUGUAUGGGGUGCAAGUGGUCGUGAGUUCGAGUCUCACCUUUCCGACAA
rnacentral:tRNA from 1 species